rnacentral:rRNA from 1 species
AGAGUUUGAUCCUGGCUCAGAAUCAACGCUGGCGGCGCGCCUAACACAUGCAAGUCGAGCGAGAAAGCGGGGGCAACCUCGUGAGUAAAGCGGCGUACGGGUGAGUAACACGUGGAUCAUCUACCUCUUUGUGGGGGAUAACUCUGGGAAACCGGAGCUAAUACCGCAUAAGUCCGGGAGGAGAAAGCAGCAAUGCGCAGAGAGAGGAGUCCGCGGCCGAUUAGCUAGUUGGUAGGGUAAGAGCCUACCAAGGCUGAGAUCGGUAGCCGGCCUGAGAGGGCACACGGCCACACUGGCACUGAAACACGGGCCAGACUCCUACGGGAGGCAGCAGUGGGGAAUCUUGCACAAUGGGGGCAACCCUGAUGCAGCGACGCCGCGUGAGCGAUGAAGCCCUUCGGGGUGUAAAGCUCUUUCGGCAGGGAAGAUUAUGACGGUACCUGCAGAAGCAGCUGCGGCUAACUACGUGCCAGCAGCCGCGGUAAUACGUAGGCAGCAAGCGUUGUUCGGAGUUACUGGGCGUAAAGGGUGUGUAGGCGGUUCUCUAAGUUUGGUGUGAAAUCUCCCGGCUCAACUGGGAGGGUGCGCCGAAAACUGGGGGGCUAGAGUACUGGAUGGGAGAGUGGAAUUCCUGGUGUAGCGGUGAAAUGCGUAGAUAUCAGGAGGAACACCUGUGGUGUAGACGGCUCUCUGGACAGUAACUGACGCUGAGACACGAAAGCGUGGGUAGCAAACAGGAUUAGAUACCCUAGUAGUCC